ACACACGUGUUACAAUGGCAGGUACAGCGGGAAGCCACCUGGCGACAGGAGCGGAACCCGAAAGCCUGUCCCAGUUCGGAUUGGAGUCUGCAACCCGACUCCACGAAGUUGGAUUCGCUAGUAAUCGCGCAUCAGCCAUGGCGCGGUGAAUACGUUCCCGGGCCUUGUACACACCGCCCGUCAAGCCAUGGGAGCCGGGGGCGCCUGAAGUCCGGGACCGCGAGGACCGGCCUAGGGCGAAACUGGUAACUGGGGCUAAGUCGUAACAAGGUACC
rnacentral:rRNA from 1 species